CCUACGGGAGGCAGCAGCGAGGAAUUUUGCGCAAUGGGCGAAAGCCUGACGCAGCAACGCCGCGUGGGUGAUGAAGGCCUUCGGGUCGUAAAACCCUGUCAGGUGGGAAGAAACGGUUGGGGGUGAAUACCCCCCAAUCUUGACUGUACCACCAGAGGAAGCCCCGGCUAACUCCGUGCCAGCAGCCGCGGUAAU
rnacentral:rRNA from 1 species